UGACUUAAAGGUAUAUGAUUGUUUUUGUUCCUUUAACAUGAACGUGAGUCUGGAGAAACAGCUACGGCCAUCCCAGCCCUGGCCAAGGGGAAAAUGCCGGAAGACUCCAGGGUGGGAGGAAGCGCGUCCCAAGGCCCAGGAUCUGCGAGGCGACUUGGGGAAAACGCAGGCAGGACCUGCUGAAGCUCACACCCGUGGACCACCCAGACUGCCUGCCGCUACAGGAUGCCCUCCGCAUCUCCCAGGACUUCUUUCCGGCAUCAGUGUGGACAUUGACCCCACUGGACUGCAGUCACAGUGGACUCCCAAGGGGCAGGAUCCACCUCUGAUGUUCAGUGAAGACUACCAGAAAAGUCUGCUAGAGCAGUACCAUCUGGGUCUGGAUCAAAAACUCAGAAAAUACGUGGUUGGAGAGCUCAUCUGGAAUUUUGCCGAUUUCAUGACUAACCAG
rnacentral:lncRNA from 1 species